rnacentral:rRNA from 1 species
CCUACGGGUGGCAGCAGUGGGGAAUAUUGCACAAUGGGCGAGACCCUGAUGCAGCGACGUCGCGUGAGUGAAGACUUCUCUAGGUAUGUAAAGCUCUAUCAGCAGGGAAGAAAAUGACGGUACGUGAUUCAUAAGCUCCGGCUAACUACGUGCCAGCAGCCGCGGUAAUACGUAGGGGGCAAGCGUUAUCCGGAUUUACUGGGUGUAAAGGGAGCGUAGACGGCAGGACAGGUCUGGAGUGAAAUGCCGGGGCUUAACCCCGAAACUGCUUUGGAUACUGUGCAGCUAGAGUGCAGGAGAGGUAAGUGGAAUUCGUGGUGUAGCGGUGAAAUGCGUAGAUAUCAGGAGGAACACCAGUGGCGAAGGCAGCUUACUGAACUGCAACUGACGUUGAGGCUCGAAAGUGUGGGGAGCAAACAGGAUUAGAUACCCCAGUAGUC